rnacentral:ncRNA from 1 species
UUCUCCCCGAAAUGCAUUUAGGUGCAGCGUCGUGUGUUUCUUGCCGGAGGUAGAGCACUGGAUAGGCGAUGGGCCCUACCGGGUUACUGACCUUAGCCAAACUCCGAAUGCCGGUAAGUGAGAGCGCGGCAGUGAGACUGUGGGGGAUAAGCUCCAUGGUCGAGAGGGAAACAGCCCAGAGCAUCGACUAAGGCCCCUAAGCGUACGCUAAGUGGGAAAGGAUGUGGAGUCGCAGAGAUAACCAGGAGGUUGGCUUAGAAGCAGCCACCCUUGAAAGAGUGCGUAAUAGCUCACUGGUCUAGUGAUUCCGCGCCGACAAUGUAGCGGGGCUCAAGCGUACCGCCGAAGUCGUGUCAUUGCAGCAAUACGGCCAACGCUGGCUGUGAUGGGUAGGGGAGCGUCGUCUGCCGGGUGAAGCAGCACCGGAAGGUAGUUGUGGACGGUUGACGAGUG